CGGCAGGCUUAACACAUGCAAGUCGAGGGGUAACAGGAGUGCUUGCACUCGCUGACGACCGGCGCACGGGUGCGUAACGCGUAUAGAACCUACCUUUUACUGAGGGAUAGCCUUUAGAAAUGAAGAUUAAUACCUCAUGGUAUUGCAAUUUGGCAUCAGAUUGUAAUUAAAGAUUUAUUGGUAAAAGAUGGCUAUGCGUCUUAUUAGCUAGAUGGUAAGGUAACGGCUUACCAUGGCAACGAUAAGUAGGGGCCCUGAGAGGGGGAUCCCCCACACUGGUACUGAGACACGGACCAGACUCCUACGGGAGGCAGCAGUGAGGAAUAUUGGGCAAUGGAGGCAACUCUGACCCAGCCAUGCCGCAUGCAGGAAGACUGCCCUAUGGGUUGUAAACUGCUUUUAUACAGGAAGAAACACACCUACGUGUAGGUGCUUGACGGUACUGUAAGAAUAAGCACCGG
rnacentral:rRNA from 1 species